GGGUGGGAAUGGAGCUAAACUCAAUGGUAAUGGAGCUGCAGCUGCUGCACAUAACGGACUCAUAAUGAAAGGCAACGGCUAUGUUGCUGGAUCUGGUGUACCUAAUGUAAACGGAGCUAAAACCAAU